UACAGAGGGUGCAAGCGUUAAUCGGAAUUACUGGGCGUAAAGCGUGCGUAGACGGUUACAUAAGUCGGGUGUGAAAGCCCCGGGCUCAACCUGGGAAUCGCAUUCGAGACUGCGUAGCUAGGGUGCGGAAGAGGGAAGCGGAAUUUCCGGUGUAGCGGUGAAAUGCGUAGAUAUCGGAAGGAACACCAGUGGCGAAAGCGGCUUCCUGGUCCAGCACCGACGUUCAGGCACGAAAGCGUGGGGAGCAAACAGG
rnacentral:rRNA from 1 species